rnacentral:lncRNA from 1 species
UACUCCAUAGAGGGUUCGAGUUGUAUCUUUCACACGAAAGGAUGAUUCUUUUUUCUUGUGAUGUCAACCAUUGGAUUGCAUAUUAUCCAUAUCAAGAGCUGUACAAAUUGAUAGAAGAAAGAGAUUGAAGCACUUUGAAAUCUGUGCAAGGUGCAAUCUAACAAUUGAUUUGUGAAAAAAUAUCAAUCAUUCUUUCUCG